UCAGCAUAUUAUAGUAAAUUAUUAGCAAGAACACUGUGCAGGUUCAAUUAGCAUGGAUAUCCAUCUUAGAAAACAAAAUUUCCAGCUAACAGUUUGCAUGCCCAAUAGCUAGUAAAACUACCACCAACACAUUCCCUACCCAGAAAACUUAUGCUAUGAUAAAGUUACCAAAUGGAAAAGGAAGGAGGGGGAAUCUUUGGAUUGCAAUCUGAAGCAUUACAUGUUCAAAAGGUUUAAUCUUACAUGUUUCUAAAUAUGCUUUAUACCUAGAUGUAUACACGAUCCUCGUUUAUGAUCUUUCCUUCACAACAUUGAACGAGCACCGGCAGCUUCGAUUCCCAUAUGGCUUCUACACUAGAACUCUCUAACCCAGAUAUCCUGCAACUAUUUCUGGAGCAACAUGCAUCCCAUCUCUAUGUAGUUCUUGAUCCAAACUAUUUGACAUUAUAUAACCUAUAAAUAAUAUGAAAAAUAGAUUAAUUCAGAAAUUAAAAUACCAAAGCAAUCUACAUCCCCUCUUUAACUAUAUUUUUGAAACAAACAGUGAAGAAAGCAAAUGAUUAUGUCCAUCUUUUGUGAGGUAUGAAAAUAUAUGUAAAAUACUUACUAUGUCCAUCUCUGUUGCAGGGUGGCAUCCUUAGGCCUGGUUGGAGGUCGUCGCCUGGUUUUGAGAUUUCCCCCAGCAGAUAAUGACUGC
rnacentral:lncRNA from 1 species